rnacentral:lncRNA from 1 species
GCUGCCGCCGUCCCCCGCAGCCUGGCAGCCCGGCUCCGAGCCGACGCCGAUCCGACGCCGCCGGAUGAGGAUGAGGCGCCCGCAGGGAUCCCGCUGUCCCCGUCCCCCCCGUCCCCGUCUCCGUCCCCCCCGGGGUGACGCCGCAUCCCAAUAAACGCCGGUGUCCGGUGAAAGGGGGGGGGGGGGCCGCGGCCCCCGGCGUCGCCUUUAAUUCCCGCCGCGUCGCCGGGGCGGAAACGGCCCCGGAGAGACCCCCGGGACCCGCCGCCGGGAUUCGGGGCCGGGAACAAGUCCAGAGCCAUCGUUUGGGGUCAGGAGCCGGGAUUCGGGAUUCAGGGCCAGGAACAAGUCCGGAGCCACCGUUCAGGGUCAGGAGCCGGGAUUUGGGGCCAGGAGCUGGGAUUCAGGACUGGGAACAAGUCCAGAGCCACUGUUCGGGGCCGGGAGCCGGGAUUCAGGCCUGGGAAUUGGGAUUCGGGGCCGGGAGCCCAGACCUGGCGUUCACGCUUGGGAGCCAGGAUUCGGCUACCGAAGCGAGCCGAGAGCUGGGAUUCGGGGACCAGAGUGGAGAUUCGGGGACCGGAGCGAACCCGGAGCCACCGUUCGGGGCCGGGAGCUGGGAUUCAGGGCCAGGAACUGGGAUUUGGGGACCGGAGCGAACCUGGAGCCACCGUUCGGGGCCGGGAGCUGGGAUUUGGAGCUGGGAACGAGUCCGGAGUCACCGUUGGGGGUUGGGAGCCGGGAUCGGGGCACAGGAUGGAGCCCAGAGCCGGGAUUCAGGGCCGGGAACUGGGAUUUGGGGACCAGAGCAAGUCCGGAGUCACCGUUCACGGUUGGGAGCCGGGAUUCGGCGACCAAAGCGAGCCAAGAGCUGGGAUUUGGGGACCAGAGCGAACCUGGAGCCACCGUUCGGGGCCAGGAGCUGGGAUUCGGGGCUGGGAACGAGUCCGGAGUCACCGUUCGGGGUUGGGAGCCGGGAUCGGGGCACAGGAUGGAGCCCAGAGCCGGGAUUCAGGGCCGGGAACUGGGAU